CAUUGUCCUCUUUAGGCACGCCAAAGAAAGACGCUCCCGGUGCACCAAAGGGCAUAGCCUUUUUCUACUUUUACCCAUUUUUCUUUUCUCUACUUUUACCCCUUUUUCUUUUCAUUGUCUUUCUCCAUUUUUUAUUCUUGGUCAUCCUUUCCUUUAAGUUCCCCCAAAAUAUGGUAUGAGAAAACUGGUACAACCUCACCAUUAUAAUUUCACUGAUUCAACUUCUUUUCCCACUCAAAGUUCUCAUUUGAGAAUUUGUAAAAUCC
rnacentral:lncRNA from 1 species